AAAAUGAUUUGAAAACAGUAUUGUUGAUUAUAUUUAAUCUCGAAAGAACAAAUUUUUGAGAAGCUAUUUAUUUAUCUUCUUCAUCCUGAAGUAGGUGCUCAAAUGCUUUGUUGGCUUAGCGUUGAAAGCAAAGAGGAGAUUCCCGCCCAGAUUGAGCAGAGUGGGGAAAAGUAUGCCGUGGGAAAAACUACAUACUAAGAUCACAAGUAAAAGCUCAAGAAGGAAACUGGCAGAAACUCUGGCUCACUUGUUGAGGUUGGUGAUUUAAUUAGAAUUUGAAGUGUGCCGUAAGGAGAUUAGAGCUGACCUUUGUCACCUGCCCACGCUACCUUUGAGACCUGUCAGAUUUAUCACCAUCUCUGGGGAGUCCUGGAACAAAAUCACCCAAACAAACCCUUCUGAGUGGAGGACUCCCCACCUUCUUUGGUGUUAUUGUUAUUGUCAUCUUUCAACUUUGAAGUUAGAACCUGGUUUCUGGAAGACUCUACAAUGUCUUGGAAGCUAAACAUUCAAUACAUGGACAAUUGUGGAUAAUAUAGAUAACCUAAAAGAAGAAGAUCAUUAUCACUAGUAAUUUUACUAUUUAGUGCUAACUGUGUUCAGUUUGGUGUGUAUCUUGUGUGCUUUUUAAAACAAAAAUGGGAUUAUAUAAUUUGUACUUUUUAGUAAACAUACAGUAAGCAUCUCUUAAUGUUAGUUAUUCAUCAUCAACUCUACAACCUAACUAAUAAUCAUAAUAACUGUUGUCAAGCAC
rnacentral:lncRNA from 10 species